rnacentral:lncRNA from 1 species
AGGAGCUGGCUUCCUUCUACCCAAAACCGUCUCAGGUGCGUCUGGUGAGCCCACAGAGGUGCAGUUUAUUUCUGAUUUUAAUGUUGGACCAAAUCCUCUGUUUCCUCCCAGGAACUUAACUGAAUAGGUACCGGCCAUGUUCCCAGGACAUUCAGAAGGGACGCUGUCAGGCGAGUGCGAUGCAAAUGCCCCCCCCCCCCACUCCUUCCAUUGAGGUUGCUGCAGACUUUACCCCAAGCUCUUUCCCCGGGCAUCUCUGCUGCUGGGGAAGCCAGGUAGGAGGGUGUGAACAGUGAAAAGACAUCUGGACAGAACCUAGUGAUGCGGUCAGGGGUGGGCAAUAGGGUUGUGAGCAGGGGGAGGACAUUGGGGCGGACCUGGGAUGUGGCCUCAACUGGCAGAAGCACCUGGGUGGUCCUGCCUGGGGUGCAGCCCACAGAGCCCACAGAGCUCUGAGCAGCUGGAGGCAGGUGAUACACCUGGUGCUCAAAGCAAGUGGAAGCAACAGAACAAUGUCCCCAGGCCUCCCCACCCUUCCCUCCCUCCUGAACCUGGGGAAGGGCUGAGAGGCACAGUCACUCAUGGGACAGGCCUUGACUGAGCAGGAAGCCCUGCCUGGUGGCUGAGGUGGGGACUGAGCCCUGGACCACGGGGCUAGGUCUUCAGGUGCCUAAGAGAUGAGUGGUUAGUUCAGCCAGGAGGAGGGCCAGCCGCCACCCUCGUAUCAAGCAGUCCUGUGGGUGUGCUUGCUCCCCAGGGCGUGCGGGAGCACAGUUUAAGACAGUUCCUGCCUUCCCCCAAGCCACUAGGGUGACUUCCCUGCCCCCUGUUUUCCCUUAUGCUCCCCUAAAAAUGACACCCAGAGCCCUGUCCCCUCCCCACUGCUCCCCCAGGAGAAAAUUACUGGAGGCCACUUCAUGAAGUGAGCACUGGACUAGUAAUCUCAUCUGGCCUCUGGCCACUUCCUGGCUAGUUGAUCUUGCCUGUGGCUUUCCACACCUGUUUUUCUUACCUUGAAAUGGGAAAAUACCUCACUCUCUACCCAUAAAGUGGUUGUGAGGCUGGAAGGGGGCUCAGAGAUGCUAUGUGCCUGUCCCUCUGUGGCCACCGAGCCCCAGGGCUCUUCCCCUAGAGGGUGUGCCUGGGCCCUGCCCACAGCCGGGGUGCCCCAGAGGCCAUGGAGCUGCUUCCACCCCAGUACCCAGGACAGGACCUGCAGCAGCUGCUAAGCCCAGGUCCCAGAAAAUUCGAACCUGGGCUCUAGGCAGUUGGGGAGCAAGGAUGCCGCUGGAGUGGAAGGGAUGUGGGGAAACGGAUAUGUCCGUGACUGUCCAUGAGGCGAGGCCUUCAUGAUUCCAACCCAGCCAUCUGCUCCUCCCUGCCAGGGUCCAACAAGAGUCCCUGACCCCUCAAGGACAGCUCAGGGUCCUACUGGUGCUGUCCUUGCUGAGCAGGAUUCUGGACACUGCUUGGCCCUCAUUCUCAGCUUCCCUCCCCCAACAAGCCCCAGAUGGUCCGGGUCUGCUCUUCUCCUGGAGUCCCUUCUGACCAGAGCCAGACGCCAGGCCGGGAGGCCCUUUUCCACAGUUACCUCGGGAGCUCUGGUUCCGGGAUGAGUGCCUCCCGGCUAAGAUUGUUGGCCACAGAGAAAGGUCAGGGGUGGUGGUGGCGGGAGGGACCUGCUUGAGGCAACAUCAGACGUUCCAGGCGAGCCAAGCCCCCAGGGCCUCGCCUGCCCUCCCAGAUAGCUCCCCUGGAGAAGGACUCAGCUUUGCCCCCGCCCUGGAUCCAGCCCUCCCCCUCUUGUCCUGCUGGAUUUGCUCUCUUGCCCUCCGGACUCUCCUGCCUCUGUCUUGGUGGGAAAGCACCUUCGAGGUGAGAUGGUCCCCCACCCCACGCCCCAGGCCCGAGAGCCUUGGGGCCGAGGUGCCCCCAGCAUGUCAGCACGCUCCCUGCUCCCUCCCUCCACCCCACUGUGUUCCCACGGUCAAGGCGGGAGCAACAAGGCAGGGAGCACGGAGCGCCCACGGGGCUCCGAGGGUCCUCAGGGGCUGGAAGGGCUCUCCUGGCCUCUGCGGAUAUAGGUUCCUGCGCGCAGAGCGCACCAACCUGCCCAACACCCCCGCCCCUGGAGCCAGUGAGAGCGAGCGAGCGCCAGCCAGCAGGAGCGAGCUGACGGUCCCCAUCCCCGACUACGUGGAAGCCUUGACCUCACAAGUUAGAAGUCAGCCGGAUGUAGGAGGUAGGGGGUGGCAUCUGUGGGCUUGUGAAAACGUUGAGAGGAGUCUGGGGUUGGGGCAUAGGGAAGUGAGGCGUGAGCCUGGCCGCGGCCCAGAGCCCCCACCCCAGAAGAAUCUGUCUCGGAAAAUCAGAGACCUCACUUACCCGGUUUGAGGGAACAGAUGCCCACAGAAGCCCCAGCAACCAUCCAGCUCAGGACAGGCCCAGUGGCUGAGGCAGCUCAGCAGGAAGGUGGGGCACAGGGGGUCCCCUCCUCUCCUUCCUCCUCUUCCUAACCCCUUUAGAGCCUGGGCUCCCCCAGAGUGGACCCCUUGGACUUCUCGACCUCUGACUCCCAGCCACACACAUAAUGAUCAAUAUUUGUACAACACUGUAAAAUGACCACCAGUGGGGUCUGGUUAACAUCCACAACCUCACUCACACAGUUGAAUUUUUUUCUUGUGAUGAAAACUUUUAAGACCUGCUCUCUUAGCAACUUUCCAGUAUAGGGUCCUUAAUCCACUGAGCAAGGCCAGGGAUUGAACCCAAAACCUUAUGGUUCCUAGUCAGAUUCAUUUCUGCUGAGCCACGAUGGGAACUCCAUUAGCUGAUUUUUUUUGUAUGGGGUAAGACAGGGGUCCAGUUUCAUUCCUUUACAUGUCUCAAUUUCUCAGUUUGCAUGUCCAGUUUCUCAGCAACAUUUAUUGAAAAGACUGUCCUCUCCCCACCUGUACAUAUCUGGCUCCUUCAUCAUAAGUUAACUGACCAUAUACAUAUGGGUUUAUUUCUGGGAUCUCUAAUCUGUUCCACUGAUCUCUGUGUCUGUUUUUAUGCCAAUAACAUACU